CCAGCAGCCGCGGUAAUUCCAGCUCCAAUAGCGUAUAUUAAAGUUGUUGCAGUUAAAAAGCUCGUAGUUGAAUUUCGGGGUUAGUAGGUUGGUCAUGCCUCUGGUAUGCACUGGCCUCACUGAUUCCUCCUUCCUGAUGAGCCGUAAUGCCAUUAAUUUGGUGUUGCGGGGAAUUUGGACUGUUACUUUGAAAAAAUUAGAGUGUUUAAAGCAAGCUAACGCUUGAAUACAUUAGCAUGGAAUAAUGAAAUAGGACGUUCGAUCCUAUUUUGUUGGUUUCUAGGAUUGACGUAAUGAUUAAUAGGGAUAUUGGGGGCAUUAGUAUUCAAUUGUCAGAGGUGAAAUUCUUGGAUUUAUUGAAGACUAACUACUGCGAAAGCAUUUGUCAAGGAUGUUUUCAUUAAUCAAGAACGAAAGUUAGGGGGAUCGAAGACGAUCAGAUACCGUCGUAGUCUUAACCAUAAACUAUGCCGACUAGGGAUCGGAUGAUGUUAAUUUUUAAUGACUCAUUCGGCGCCUUACG
rnacentral:rRNA from 1 species